rnacentral:tRNA from 1 species
UGUACUCCAACCAGUACGGUAGAGCACAUCGUUCACAUCGAUGGGGUCACUGGUUCGAGUCCAGUAAGCACCACCA